UCGAGUAAGGUAAGUAAACCUAAAUGAGAACACCUGGGUUAAGCCUGAUUACGUUAAGUAUGAGCACAUGCUGUUGGUCUAAUGGUGCUCAUAAAACCCGGACUGGAAAAGAAAACACCAUUACUGGUGUGAAUCUUGAGACAAUUGCAGAGGCAAAAAUAAUUAGUUCAAAAAACUUUAUUGAAUAUGAAAAAACGCUACUAAAACAGAAAAAUAGUGGUUGGGCUGCAAUUUGUAGUGAAUUCAAUGCAGAUGAAAAUGUAAACACAAGAAGAGUACAGCAACUUCAGACUCUGUGGAAUAAUCUUAAAUGGGCUUUAAAAAAGAGAAAAUGCAGAGAUCAGAAGAGAGCGAUUUACUACCGGUUGGUUGAUCACCAAAAAAAGACAAGACUGAUGAAUUGAGUGAUUUAGCUGUCUGGAGUAAAAGGGCACCAGCAACCUCUGGAUGGUAUACCAGAUGAUGACCAACCUCUGGAUGGUAUACCAGAUGAUGACCAACCUCUGGAUGGGCAGUCCAGAUGAAGAUCUGAGCACAAAUGAGGAAGGGAAUCUGAACAGGUUGGAAGAGCCAGUGCACAGUGAGUGUGUACCCUCCAUCUGCUAUAGCAUCCCUGAGAGAAGAUGCUGCCACCACCUUUCAGCAGAGAACAAAAAAGAUGACCAUGCAUGAGAAGUUAGCCAGAGAAUUUCAUGAGCAUAAAAUGAAAUAGCUGAAGGAAGAACAUGAAAUGAUAAUAAGAUUUCUACAGGUUGAAUUGAAUAUGAAGUCUGAAGAGAGACAUUACCAGCCAUGGUGAACAAUAUGAUAAGUAAAAUAAAAAAAUGUUUUGUCAUUUGGAUAUUCAUGAGUGAGACUAUUUUAAUCAGCACAAACUAUAUUUUAAACCAGCUUUGAAUUUGUCACUCACUUAAUUUUGCUGCGCACUAUUUGAAUUUUGUAUAGAACCAACAUCAUCAAAGCAAAAUUAAGCCAUAAUGAAUACAUUCCAUAUUUAAAUGUAUCUCCUCUAGUUGAAGUGCUACAAUGUGAAAGCAACUCUGUGUGCAAGUCCUCGUUGGUCAUUGCCUGCCUCAGCCAUGGGCACAUCUGCAUGAUCCUGAUCUUCCAUUGGAGGACAGCAAUGCCGCUUCAGGUAGUUGUGCAGCACUGCUAUAGCAAUGAUCACCUUGUAGCAUCUUCUUGGCUUGCAACAACGUGUAUUGCGUAAAUAUUGGAAUCUAUUUUUCCAUACUCCAAACAGGCUCAACCAUCCCUCUCGUGCGGAUAUGAGCUGUGUUGUAUCU